ACUCAAAUGGCCAUGGAAACCAAUUCCAGACAAGCUACCCGAUGGACUGCCCAACACAAACUGUAACAGAUGAUCCCAAGGGCCUGAGGCAAUUAGAACCACAGGUGCUGGCACCACACCUCCUGAUUUCUUUGGCUGUGUCAACUGGGCUUUGUUGUGAAAGUGAGUCCAGUGUGGGCAUGGAAAGCAAUUCCAGACCAGAACCCAGUCAGCAGGGCUGUGCAAGGGAGGGCAACAUGUGGAAUAUGAGUCUGCGUCUGCUCCUCUUUUGCUUCCCAUCUGCCUUGCUGAUGCACUUGAGUUGGGGUAAUAAACUCUGUUACCACAAAGUAAUUUUGUAGCAGGU